rnacentral:rRNA from 1 species
GGGGAAUAUUGCACAAUGGGCGAAAGCCUGAUGCAGCAACGCCGCGUGAGCGAUGAAGGCCUUUGGGUCGUAAAGCUCUGUCCUUGGGGAAGAAAAAAAUGACGGUACCCAAGGAGGAAGCCCCGGCUAACUACGUGCCAGCAGCCGCGGUAAUACGUAGGGGGCAAGCGUUAUCCGGAAUUAUUGGGCGUAAAGAGUACGUAGGUGGUCUUUUAAGCGCAGGGUUUAAGGCAAUGGCUUAACCAUUGUUCGCCCUGUGAACUGGAAGACUUGAGUGUAGGAGAGGAAAGUGGAAUUCCUAGUGUAGCGGUGAAAUGCGUAGAUAUUAGGAGGAACAUCAGUGGCGAAGGCGACUUUCUGGACUAUUACUGACACUGAGGUACGAAAGCGUGGGGAGCAAAC